UACAGAGGGGGGCAAGCGUUGUUCGGAAUUACUGGGCGUAAAGGGGCGCGAUAGGCGGCCCGCUAAGUCGAACGUGAAAUCCCCGAGCUCAACUCGGGAACUGCGUCCGAUACUGGCGGGCUUGAAUCCGGGAGAGGGAUGCGGAAUUCCAGGUGUAGCGGUGAAAUGACGUAGAUAUCGUAAGGAACGCCAGUGGCGAAAGCGAGUCUCUGGGCAGCAUCUGACACUGAGGCACGAAGGCCAAGGGGAGCGAA
rnacentral:rRNA from 1 species